ensembl:snRNA U6 U6 spliceosomal RNA
GUGCUUACUUUGGCAGCACCUAUACUAAAAUUGGAACAAUACACAGAAAAGUAGCAUGGCUCCUGUGCAAGGAUGACAUGCAAAUUCAUGAAGUGUUUUAUGUUUUU